rnacentral:rRNA from 1 species
AAUAAAAUAUUUUGGUAUAUAAUUACAUAUAAUUAAUUAAAUAAUAAAAACAUUUUUAAAUUGAGUAAAAGUGAUAGAAAAUUAUUAAUUUGAACCCAAAAAAAGUACUGUAAAGGAAUAUAUUUAAGUAAAACUAAAGAAAAAAUUGAAAUUUGUACCUUUUGCAUCAUGGUUUAGCUAGAUAUUUAUUUUUUAUAAAAUUUCUCGAAAUCUAAUGAGUUAUUUCUAUUCUAUGUUUUAGCAUCAAAAGAGUAGUUGUGGCAAAAACUUUCUUAGAAGUAGAAAUGGAAAUGAAAUUUUAUUCGUAUUAGAUGAUAGCUAGUUCUUUACUAAAGGUAUAUAAGUACCUAAAAUUAAUUUAAUUUUUAUGAUUCCAUCAUAAAGAAAUUUUAAUUCAACUAAAUUUUUGAGGAUAAGCUCGAAAAUUAUAAUUAUAUAUGUAUUUAAUUCUUAUAAAAAUUUAGGCUUGAAAGUAGCUAUAAUUUUGAGUUUGUUAUAAUUUCAUUAGUAUACUAAGAAAAUAAUUGAUUUACUUAAAGUCAGUAAAGAAAACUCUAUAAUUAAACUGAGCUGAAUUAAUGCUAAAAUGAGUAUUCAUUAUUUUAUAAAAAAUAAACAGGCUAUAAGUUUAUUUUUUUAUAUUUAUUUCAAAAAGAAGUCAUAAAAAGGAACUCGGCAAAAACAUAUUCUGCCUGUUUAGCAAAAACAUCGCUCCUUGAUUACUAAUAAUAAGGAGUCGGACCUGCCCAGUGAAUAUUUCAACGGCCGCGGUACUCUGACCGUGCAAAGGUAGCAUAAUCAUUUGCCUUAUAAUUGAAGGCUAGUAUGAAUGGUUUGACAAGAAUAUAGCUGUCUCUUUAUGAUUUAAUAGAAUUUUAUUUUUAGGUGAAGAAGCCUAAAUUUAAUUAAAAGACAAGAAGACCCUAUCGAGCUUGAAAAAACUUAAUAGAACUAAAAUUAAUAAUACUAAAAAAUUAUCUAUUAAAUAUUUUAGUUGGGGCGACCGAGGAACAUAAAAAGCUUCCUUUAAUAUAAUUUCUUUCUCACCAGAAUUGAUCCAAAAUGUUUUGAUUAAAGAAAUUAGUUACCGUAGGGAUAACAGCAUUAUCUUUUUUAAGAGCUCAUAUCGAAAAAAAGGUUUGUGACCUCGAUGUUGGACCAGAAUAUCCUAAAGGUGCAGCAGCCUUUAAGGGUUGGUCUGUUCGACCAUUAAAAUUCUACGUGAUCUGAGUUCAGACCGGCGUGAGCCAGGUCAGUUUCUAUCUUUAAUUGCUUAGAUAAGCUUAGUACGAAAGGACCAGCUUAUCAUAAAUAAAUAUUAAUAACAGAUUAAAUUUAAUUAUUAAUUAAUCAAAUUAGCAAAAUUAAUGCAAUUGACUUAGGAUCAGUAGAUAUAGGUGAAAUUCCUUUAUUUGAUAAUAAAGGUGGCAGAUGAA